rnacentral:rRNA from 1 species
GUGGGGAAUCUUGCGCAAUGGGCGAAAGCCUGACGCAGCCAUGCCGCGUGAAUGAUGAAGGUCUUAGGAUUGUAAAAUUCUUUCACCGGGGACGAUAAUGACGGUACCCGGAGAAGAAGCCCCGGCUAACUUCGUGCCAGCAGCCGCGGUAAUACGAAGGGGGCUAGCGUUGCUCGGAAUUACUGGGCGUAAAGGGCGCGUAGGCGGACAGUUUAGUCAGAGGUGAAAGCCCAGGGCUCAACCUUGGAAUUGCCUUUGAUACUGGCUGUCUUGAGUACGGGAGAGGUGAGUGGAACUCCGAGUGUAGAGAUGAAAUUCGUAGAUAUUCGGAAGAACACCAGUGGCGAAGGCGACUCACUGGCCCGUUACUGACGCUGAGGCGCGAAAGCGUGGGGAGCAAACAGGAUUAGAAACCCCGGUAGUCC